rnacentral:rRNA from 1 species
GCGGUGCGCUUAUGCAUGCAGUCGAGCGAGCUUUCAGUAGUUUACUACAGAAAAUGACUGAGCGGCGAACGGGUGAGUAACGCGUGAGCAAUCUACCUUAGUUACAGGGAUAGCCCGAGGAAACUCGGAUUAAUACCUGAUAUUCUUUAUUUCUCGCAUGAGAAUAAAAGGAAAGGUCAGCCGAACUAAGAUGAGCUCGCGUUCUAUCAGCUAGUUGGUGAGGUAAAAGCUCACCAAGGCUACGACGGAUAGCUGGUCUGAGAGGACGAUCAGCCACACUGGGACUGAGACACGGCCCAGACUCCUACGGGAGGCUGCAGCAGGGAAUAUUGCGCAAUGAGCGAAAGCUUGACGCAGCGACACCGCGUGUGGGAUGACGGAUCUAGGUUUGUAAACCA